rnacentral:lncRNA from 1 species
CAAAGGUCUGGACCACAUCUCAGCUUCUCUUCACCUCCUGGAGCAGAUCUCUAAUAAAGGAGUCUCGGGUUGUUGUCCAUUACCAUCAAUGAGGCUCAUCCUGCAUGCUGUUGCUGGAACCAUCUUCUGUAAACACUGCUUUUAUCGCUUCCCACCCCUGCGGAGGAGCCCUCUGUGGUUAGAAGAUCAACACAACACACUCCAGCCUGUUAUUACAGCGUCGUGCUGCUGCCUCCUGAUUUCCUCUCUGCUGUCCAAGUGGUCUCCUCUUUCCUCCUCCACCUUCAUAGCUACUGCCUCUGUGCGCUGGGCGUGGCUGCAGGUCUGUCCCCAAUUCCCUCUUAAAAGCAUCACUUGCUUUAAGAAUUAAAUUGAAAUGAGCCGCACUUCCUUCAAAGAGCCUCUACCGGCAGC